rnacentral:rRNA from 1 species
UACGUAGGGCGCAAGCGUUGUCCGGAAUUAUUGGGCGUAAAGAGCUCGUAGGCGGCCAUGCGUGUCUUCCGUGAAAUCCCUCGGCUUAACUGAGGACGUGCGGAAGAAACUGCAAGGCUUGAGUCCGGGAGAGGGGGGUGGAAUUCCCAGUGUAGCGGUGAAAUGCGUAGAUAUUGGGAGGAACACCAGUGGCGAAGGCGGCUCACUGGCCCGGUACUGACGCUGAGGUGCGAAAGCGUGGGGAGCAAACAGG